rnacentral:rRNA from 1 species
AAAACCCCGGGGUUUCAACCUGGGAACUGGCAUUCCAAAAAGGGGCAAGGCUGGAGUCCGGUAGGAGGGUGGUGGAAAUUUUCUUGGAGUAGUGGUAGAAAUGAGGUAGAUAUUAGAAGGAACACCAGUGGCGAAGGCGACCACCUGGAUUGGAUAUCUGGACACUGAGGUGCGAAAAGCGUGGGGAGCAAACAGGAUUAGAUACCCUGGGUAGUCCACGCCGUAAACGAUGUCAACUAGCCGUUGGAAUCCUUGAGAUUUUAGUGGGCGCAGCUAACGCAUUAAAGUUGGACCGCCGGGGGAGUACGGCCGCAAGGUUAAAACUCAAAUGAAUUGACGGGGGCCCGCACAAGCGGUGGAGCAUGUGGUUUAAUUCGAAGAAACGCGAAGAACCUUACCAGGCCUUGACAUGCAGAAAACUUUCCAGAGAUGGGAUUGGGUGCCUUCGGGAACUCUGAAACAGGUGGUGCAUGGCUGUCGUGAGAUUGUGUUGUGAGAUGUUGGGAUAAGUCCCGUAAUGAGAGGAACCCUUGU